CCCCCACCCAUGUGUGUAGGACCCCAAAAGAUCACCAUUAAAGUUGGCAUAGAUCUCUAGAAAAGUUAUCACAUGGGUGUGGGACUUGACUUUUCUAGAUAUCUGUGCCAACUUUAAUGGUGAUCCUUUGGGGUCCUACACACAUGGGUGGGGG
rfam:Amborella trichopoda AMTR_V1.0_contig_37842, whole genome shotgun sequence.